rnacentral:rRNA from 1 species
AUGCCGUUUGGAAUGUUCGUUGGAGUGAAUAACCACUUCCAGAGUAUUAUUUUCGCUGGAGUACUUCUUACAAACGAGACUGCAGAAUAUUUCGAUUGGGCUUUCAAGGAGUUUGUUCUGAUGAUGGGUGGUAACGCACCAUGUACGAUGCUGACAGACCAAGCUUUGGCAAUGGCAGUGGCAAUUAAGAGAACUUUACCAAAGACCACACACCGGUGGUGUAAAUGGCAUGUCUUGCGUAGAGCUCAGGAAGUAUUGGGACAUGUAUACAAAAAUCAUUUAAGUUUUGGUGAUGAUUUCAACAUGGUAGUGAACCAUAUGCUAACUGUUGAUGAGUUCGAGAGGGCAUGGGAUUUCCUCAUCGAAAAAUAUAACCUCCGUUCCAAUCCAUUCAUGACUAGGGUGUACGAGUGUAGAGCCAAAUGGGCAAAACCAUACUUCAAUGACAUAUUCUGUGCCUGA